CGGAAGGGCAUGCUGUUUGGUUCUUUAAAACUUCCUGCCAAACUGAAGCAACUGAGAAACUGAACAUACACAGAUAUUUGGGGACUAACUCAAUAAUGAAUCUGAAGACCAAAGCCAUUAAGUGACCUAAGAAUGGUCCCCCACUGGUCAGUGCAGUGCCAAGACAGAGCAUUACAAGGCUUUGGUUAAAAACAGGCUCUGCAGUCAGUCCGCUCAAGUCCACAUCCCACGUUCCUAUUUGCCAGCUGUGUGACCUCAGAGGAAGGAUACAAAACAACAACUUAAAAAUAUUUCAAAGCACCUCAAUUGCUGAAGAGUCACUUUGACUGGAGUUUGACAGGAAUGCCAAUAUCCAGCUGCCCUUGACAUUGUGGAAAAAGUGAAAUGCAAUGGAAACAGCCCCAGAGUCUCCUUUCCAGUCCAGGCUCUGCCACUUGACAAGCCAUAGUCAAGUUACUCAAGCUCUGGGUCACCAUCUGUAAAAUGGGGAAAGAAGACUCCAAAUCCAGUGUUUCUCAUCACCAUGUGAAAGCAGAGUAAAGGCAAAAGGCCAGCAAAGGCAACUGAAGAUAAUCAGACAUUCCUGAGAAGAAAUCCAGCUCUGCCUUCGUUAACCACCUCUCUUUUCUGGGAUGCUGCUACAGCAUGGGUGGAUGAGCAGUGCUAGGUCCACGUCCAGGAUCUGAACCCAUGGACUCCAGGCCGCUGAAGUGGAGGGCAUGAACUUAACCACUAUGCCAUUGGGCCAGCACCAACUUCCAACUUUUUAAGAGCAAGUUAACUGAUUUGCAGAAUAAAGAUGGAUCAAGUUAAAAACAUACAUUUACACACAUAACACUGUGUGUGUGUGUGUGCCCAUGUAAAUUAGGAGAAUAUACAUGAUAUUUUAAAAAAUAUCAUGACAAUUAUUGCCUCUGGGAUCAAACACACAGCGCUCUGACCUCAACUCCAACUCCACCAGGGGCAUCUCUGUCUCCUUGGCCUCCCCCAGCACCUUCCCAUCCUUCAAUCUUACUAUCGCCGCCCAUCACCCUAUUACCCAAUCCUGGUCAAGAUUUGGUCUCAUUUCCCUCUUCUCUAAUAGCUGCUGCCUAACCUCCCCACUUAUGCAGUUCAGCCAGGGAGAUGAUUUGGGUCAUGUCCCUCCCGUCCCCUACAACAGUUAACUUGCACCCACAUGAUGCAAAGCUUUUACAGAUUAUUGGGGAUUAUUUGUGACCUUCCGACACUUUGCCCACUCCAAGUCCCCCCACCCCUGCCAAACACCACAUACCACCACUAUCAACACUUUUCUCUGAGUUAAUUUAUAUUUCACUCUUUGACUUUUCCACACCUUGCCUUCCAAGUGGCCCGUGAGCUUAUGUCUCUACACCUUUAUGACAAGGAAAUAAUUUCCUCUUGAAGAUGCAUCCUAUUUGAUAUCUUGAUAACUCUGAAAAAUUGCUUUCUUCUGCUUGGCCAAACUCUUCUUUUGGAUAAUAUUAGUCUGAGUUUUCUCUUCCCUUUAAUGAUCCUUUAAAAAAACAACCUUUAUCUAAUCCCUUUUCCAUGAAGUCAGGUCUUCAGAUAAGAUCUAU
rnacentral:lncRNA from 1 species